UGGGAAUUUUGGACAAUGGGCGAAAGCCUGAUCCAGCAAUGCCGCGUGUGUGAAGAAGGCCUUCGGGUUGUAAAGCACUUUUGUCCGGAAAGAAAUCCUUGGCUCUAAUACAGUCGGGGGAUGACGGUACCGGAAGAAUAAGCACCGGCUAACUACGUGCCAGCAGCCGCAGUAAUACGUAGGGUGCAAGCGUUAAUCGGAAUUACUGGGCGUAAAGCGUGCGCAGGCGGUUUGCUAAGACCGAUGUGAAAUCCCCGGGCUCAACCUGGGAACUGCAUUGGUGACUGGCAGGCUAGAGUAUGGCAGAGGGGGGUAGAAUUCCACGUGUAGCAGUGAAAUGCGUAGAGAUGUGGAGGAAUACCGAUGGCGAAGGCAGCCCCCUGGGCCAAUACUGACGCUCAUGCACGAAAAGCGUGGGGAGCAAAACAGGAUUAGAUACCCCUGGUAGUCCACGCCCUAAAACGAUGUCAACUAGUUGUUGGGGAUUCAUUUCCUUAGUAACGUAGCUAACGCGUGAAGUUGACCGCCUGGGGAGUACGGUCGCAAGAUUAAAACUCAAAUGAAUUGACGGGGUCAUAGCUGUUUCCU
rnacentral:rRNA from 1 species